rnacentral:rRNA from 1 species
CUACGGGACGCAGCAGUGGGGAAUCUUGGACAAUGGGCGCAAGCCUGAUCCAGCCAUGCCGCGUGAGUGAUGAAGGCCUUAGGGUCGUAAAGCUCUUUCGCCAGGGAUGAUAAUGACAGUACCUGGUAAAGAAACCCCGGCUAACUCCGUGCCAGCAGCCGCGGUAAUACGGAGGGGGUUAGCGUUGUUCGGAAUUACUGGGCGUAAAGCGCGCGUAGGCGGAUCAGAAAGUUGGGGGUGAAAUCCCAGGGCUCAACCCUGGAACGGCCUCCAAAACUCCUGGUCUUGAGUUCGAGAGAGGUGAGUGGAAUUCCGAGUGUAGAGGUGAAAUUCGUAGAUAUUCGGAGGAACACCAGUGGCGAAGGCGGCUCACUGGCUCGAUACUGACGCUGAGGUGCGAAAGUGUGGGGAGCAAACAGGAUUAGAUACCCUCGUAGUC